CUCCUCUCAGGGUCACACCUGGAGAGUCUCCAGUACUCUACCAGUCUCGACUAUGGGAGGGAGAGAAAAGCAGAGGCCUAUCCAUUCCAUUCCUAGCAUGGGCAGUGGCUAGCGAGUGGAAUGUAAUCUGCUACAGGU